rnacentral:rRNA from 1 species
AGAGUUUGAUCCUGGCUCAGGACGAACGCUGGCGGCGUGCUUAACACAUGCAAGUCGAACGAUGAAGCCUUUCGGGGUGGAUUAGUGGCGAACGGGUGAGUAACACGUGGGCAAUCUGCCCUGCACUCUGGGACAAGCCCUGGAAACGGGGUCUAAUACCGGAUAAUACCUUCCCUCGCAUGGGGGUGGGUUCAAAGCUCCGGCGGUGCAGGAUGAGCCCGCGGCCUAUCAGCUUGUUGGUGAGGUAGUGGCUCACCAAGGCGACGACGGGUAGCCGGCCUGAGAGGGCGACCGGCCACACUGGGACUGAGACACGGCCCAGACUCCUACGGGAGGCAGCAGUGGGGAAUAUUGCACAAUGGGCGAAAGCCUGAUGCAGCGACGCCGCGUGAGGGAUGACGGCCUUCGGGUUGUAAACCUCUUUCAGCAGGGAAGAAGCGAGAGUGACGGUACCUGCAGAAGAAGCGCCGGCUAACUACGUGCCAGCAGCCGCGGUA